AUCAACACCAUCUUCCUCUCAAAUUCGUCCCAACAAUUCCUUGCCAUUUUGAAAUGAUCCCAACCUCUAUCCCACACAAAAUCGGCCACUGAAUCCAUUUUUGACAUCAAUUUUACCGAUCGUGACUCCGUUUAAUCAUAAACAGAUGGGUUUCUUUCCUUGGGAGAGUUGUUUUUGACCGAUCCCGAUAACCACGUUUGUCAUCUCAAAAAACUGACAUCGUUUUUGAAUUCCCCUCGUCGAAACCUUCAAGAAGCACUACUCAUUUGUAUUUUUCGGUGAAGUUGACGUCAGACCCUUCCGGGCGCUCCGACGAGUCGGUGAGACAUUUUCUGCAGUUUUUUUCAUCGUUUUGACUCCAAUUUUGUUCCUAAAAUUAAUAUUAAUUAUUUAUUUUUAUGCUCCGCAUAAUUUAUCAGUCAUGUCUCAACGAUUUUGUCAACUCGUCGUUUAUUCGGACUUGCUCACUGGACGUUGUCGAUCUAUAGUUGAAAAUUCUCAUUGAUUUAUGGAUUUGAUAAAGCGUCGAAAUAAGGUAAGGGGUGAGAGAGCGUUUGAAUUCAUGAGUAUAAUAUAUUGCGAGAUGAACGGGAAAACCGUAUUUCCCAACGAUUCAUCUGGGGCUCGCUACGUACGGCAGUAGUGAUAAAUUAAUUAAUAUGCAAAAUGGAAAUUGUGAGAUUAAAAUUUGGAAUACAAAUAUUUAUAAGGUGUUGAUUGAUUUAAUUUCUUUAAAUGUGUGAUAUUUGAUAUUAUUGAGAUAUUUAACAUUAUUGUGAUAUUUGAUAUUAUUGUGAUAUUUGAUAUCAUUAUGAUAUUUGAUAUCAUUGUGAUAUUUGAUAUCAUUGUGAUAUUUGAUUUCAAAUGAAUUUAGUGCACAUGUUUGAUUAAAUGAGUUUAUGUGAAUACAGUGUAUAAUGUAAGUUUAUUUAAUGAUGUUGUUUGAUUUAUGAUAUAAAUUUGUGAUAAGUUUAUGUGAUAAUAAUGAUGAUGUUUGAUUUAUGAUAGUGAUUCUAUAAAAUUGUGAUAAGUUUAUGUGAUGAUAUAUGAUUAAUGAUAGUGAUAUUGUGAAUUUGUGAUGAGAAUAUUGAAGUAAUCUCAUAGUUGGGCCUGACAAGCCUAGUGAUUCCGGGGAAAUACAAUUGAAUGAGUCUGGUCGUGGAGGUCUACUAUUGAGCCUUAAGGCAAGAUUGUUAGACCUUGGAGGUAUUCGGGUGGGGAAUUCCUAGGUGACUUGGAGGUAGCACUCCAAAUGUCGGGAGCUACCAUGCAACACAUGUUUACCUCCACUGUCACGUAUAUGUGUCUCGGGUUGAGUUGAGGGGAUCUAUGAGGACAAGGACAAUUUGAAUUGUCUGUCCACCGGGAUGGUGCCAUAGUAUCAAGCCUCAUAACCAAGUACUUCAGAGUUUGAAUGGUACCACAUUGUGAAGUAGAGUCUAAGCUCAUGCAUAGCAUAGCAUUUUCUUGUGAUUGUUUUGUUGUGAUUAAUAUGUAUUAUGCGUGAUAAUAAUUUAUGCGAUGAUUUGAUGUUACAGUGAAGUGUAUUGAUUUUCUUUGAUUUUGACUAUAUAAUGUGAUGUUUUUCCUUGAAGAAUGUUAGUGUAAUGAUACAGUUUAUUGAUGAUUAAUUGCGUUUUACUCUUAUUUAUAUUAUACUAUCAACAUGAUUUCAAAACUCACCUCCUUCGUUGUUUGUGUUUGACUGGUUUGGCCCUGCGUUUGAGAAAUCGCAGUUAUUACAGGUUAAUGAGUCUGAAAGUUCAAGUUCGGAGAAACUCUGCUCUGAUAGGUGAUACUAGGAAUUAAGAGUUGUAAUUUGUAUUUUACUUAUGUUAUUACAAAUAAAUUUUUACAUGAAAACUUAGUACGUGUAAGUCUUGGGA
rnacentral:lncRNA from 1 species